rnacentral:rRNA from 1 species
UACGGAGGGUGCGAGCGUUAUCCGGAUUCACUGGGUUUAAAGGGUGCGUAGGUGGGAAUGUAAGUCAGUGGUGAAAUCUCUGAGCUUAACUCAGAAACUGCCAUUGAUACUAUGUUUCUUGAAUUUUUCUGGAGGUCAGCGGAAUAUGUCAUGUAGCGGUGAAAUGCUUAGAUAUGACAUAGAACACCAAAUUGCGAAGGCAGCUGGCUACAGGGAUAUUGACACUGAGGCACGAAAAGCGUGGGGGAUCAAAACAGG